GCCUCGGUAGCUCAGCGGUGGAGCGAUCGCUUCGUAAGCGAUAGGUCGGGGGUUCAAAUCCCUCUCGGGGCU
rnacentral:tRNA from 2 species